rnacentral:rRNA from 1 species
CGCGUAGGCGGGCGGUCAAGUCAGGGGUGAAAUCUUUCGGCUCAACCGGAAAAGUGCCUUUGAUACUGGCCGUCUGGAGGGAGGUAGGGGCGUGCGGAACUUUGGGUGGAGCGGUGAAAUGCGUAGAUAUCCAAAGGAACACCGGUGGCGAAAGCGGCGCGCUGGACCUCUUCUGACGCUGAGGCGCGAAAGCCAGGGGAGCAAACGGGAUUAGAUACCCCGGUAGUCCUGGCCCUAAACGUUGGGCACUAGGUAGUGGACUUACAUGGGUUCACUGCCGAAGCAAAAGUGUUAAGUGCCCCGCCUGGGGAGUAUGGUCGCAAGGCUGAA